GUGCCAGCCGCCGCGGUAAGACAGAGGGUGCAAACGUUGCUCGGAAUUACUGGGCGUAAAGCGCAUGUAGGCGGCUCCGUAAGUCGGAUGUGAAAUCCCUCGGCUUAACCGAGGAAGGGCAUUCGAUACUGCAGAGCUAGAGUAUCGGAGAGGGUCGUGGAAUUCCUGGUGUAGAGGUGAAAUUCGUAGAUAUCAGGAGGAACACCGGCGGCGAAGGCGGCGACCUGGACGAAUACUGACGCUCAGAUGCGAAAGCGUGGGUAGCAAACAGGAUUAGAUACCCUUGUAGUCC
rnacentral:rRNA from 1 species